AUGAACGCUGGCGGCGUGCCUAAUACAUGCAAGUCGAGCGAACGGACGAGAAGCUUGCUUUUCUGAUGUUAGCGGCGGACGGGUGAGUAACACGUGGAUAACCUACCUAUAAGACUGGGAUAACUUCGGGAAACCGGAGCUAAUACCGGAUAAUAUUUUGAACCGCAUGGUUCAAAAGUGAAAGACGGUCUUGCUGUCACUUAUAGAUGGAUCCGCGCUGCAUUAGCUAGUUGGUAAGGUAACGGCUCACCAAGGCAACGAUGCAUAGCCGGUCUGAGAGGAUGAUCAGCCACACUGGAACUGAGACACGGUCCAGACUCCUACGGGAGGCAGCAGUAGGGAAUCUUCGACAAUGGGCGAAAGCCUGAUCGAGCAACACCGCGUGAGUGAUGAAGGUCUUCGGAUCGUAAAGCUCUGUUAUUAGGAAAGAACAGCUGUGGAAGUAUAUCUCGCCGUUCUGACGGUACCUAAUGAAAAAGCACCGGCUAACUACGUG
rnacentral:rRNA from 1 species